UAAAAUGUUGAGAAAAAAAUCCCCUACAUGGCAAAUAUUGGGUUAAGCUAAACAGAAGAGAAAUAGACAAAGCGAAAUCCCAACAAUUGUUGAGAAGCUCAGGACUCAAAGCAGAGACUGAAGGAUUUUUAAUUGUAGCACAAAAUCAAAGCCUUUCAACCAGAAAUCACCCAAAACAUAUAAUGAAAACAAAUACAACAAUUAACUGCAGAAUAUGUGGUGACGGA